AUUGAACGCUGGCGGCAUGCCUUACACAUGCAAGUCGAACGGUAACAGGUCUUCGGAUGCUGACGAGUGGCGAACGGGUGAGUAAUACAUCGGAACGUGCCCGAGAGUGGGGGAUAACGAGGCGAAAGCUUUGCUAAUACCGCAUACGAUCUCAGGAUGAAAGCAGGGGACCGCAAGGCCUUGCGCUCACGGAGCGGCCGAUGGCAGAUUAGGUAGUUGGUGGGAUAUAAGCUUACCAAGCCGACGAUCUGUAGCUGGUCUGAGAGGACGACCAGCGACCCUGGGACUGAGACACGGCCCAGACUCCUACGGGAGGCAGCAGUGGGGAAUUUUGGACAAUGGGCGCAAGCCUGAUCCAGCCAUGCCGCGUGCAGGAUGAAGGCCUUCGGGUUGUAAACUGCUUUUGUACGGAACGAAAAGACUCUGGUUAAUACCUGGGGUCCAUGACGGUACCGUAAGAAUAAGCACCGGCUAACUACGUGCCAGCCGCCGCCGUAACAC
rnacentral:rRNA from 1 species